CAGGCUUAACACAUGCAAGUCGAGGGGCAGCGGGGUAGUGCUUGCACUACUGCCGGCGACCGGCGCACGGGUGAGUAACACGUAUGGAACCUGCCCGCAGCAGGGGGAUAAGCGGAAGAAAUUCCGUCUAAUACCGCGUAACAACGUUGGGAGGCAUCUCCCGAUGUUUAAAGAUUUAUCGGCUGCGGAUGGCCAUGCGGCGCAUUAGCUAGUCGGCGGGGUAACGGCCCACCGAGGCGACGAUGCGUAGGGGUUCUGAGAGGAAGGUCCCCCACACUGGUACUGAGACACGGACCAGACUCCUACGGGAGGCAGCAGUGAGGAAUAUUGGUCAAUGGCCGAGAGGCUGAACCAGCCAAGUCGCGUGAGGGAAGACGGCCCUACGGGUUGUAAACCUCUUUUGUCGGGGAGCAAAGCGAACCACGUGUGGUUCAUUGAGAGUACCCGAAGAAAAAGCAUCGGCUAACUCCGUGCCAGCAGCCGCGGUAAUACGUAGGAUGCGAGCGUUAUCCGGAUUUAUUGGGUUUAAAGGGUGCGCAGGCGGAGGUGCAAGUCAGCGGUCAAAUUGCGGGGCUCAACCCCGUACUGCCGUUGAAACUGCAUCCCUUGAGUGCGCGAGAAGUAUGCGGAAUGCGUGGUGUAGCGGUGAAAUGCAUAGAUAUCACGCAGAACUCCGAUUGCGAAGGCAGCAUACCGGCGCGCAACUGACGCUCAUGCACGAAAGCGUGGGUAUCGAACAGGAUUAGAUACCCUGGUGGUCCACGCAGUAAACGAUGAACACUAACUGUUCGGCCAGAAUGAUGGCUGAGUGGUACAGCGAAAGCGUUAAGUGUUCCACCUGGGGAGUACGCCGGCAACGGUGAAACUCAAAGGAAUUGACGGGGGCCCGCACAAGCGGAGGAACAUGUGGUUUAAUUCGAUGAUACGCGAGGAACCUUACCCGGGCUCAAACGACACAGGAAUACUUUUGAAAGGAGGUAGCCCUACGGGGUCUGUGUCGAGGUGCUGCAUGGUUGUCGUCAGCUCGUGCCGUGAGGUGUCGGCUUAAGUGCCAUAACGAGCGCAACCCCUAUCGCCAGUUACCAUCAAGUAAAGUUGGGGACUCUGGCGAGACUGCCGGCGCAAGCUGAGAGGAAGGCGGGGAUGACGUCAAAUCAGCACGGCCCUUACGUCCGGGGCGACACACGUGUUACAAUGGCAGGUACAGAGAGAAGCCAGGUGGCGACACCGCGCGGAACUCGAAAGCCUGUCUCAGUUCGGAUCGGAGUCUGCAACCCGACUCCGUGAAGCUGGAUUCGCUAGUAAUCGCGCAUCAGCCAUGGCGCGGUGAAUACGUUCCCGGGCCUU
rnacentral:rRNA from 1 species